rnacentral:misc_RNA from 1 species
UGACAUAGACCCACAAUGCACACAUUUUAAUUAUCUAGAUUCCAUCAUAUAAAGAGAGAGAAAGCAAAGAGGCUGUCAACCAUAGGAUUAACUUCAAGAGAUGAUAGAUUGAGACAGUUAGGCAAAGUGUAUUGUAGACUAGCAAAUGCAGCAGUAUGGAAGAUUUGAGCACAUUGGUGGAAGAUAAAAAAAAUGGGAAGGCAGACCUAAGAUGGUGUGAAGAGAAGUAGUGUGAAACGAGUAAGUGGUUCUAGAUCCUUCUAGA